UUCCCCCCACCUUUGCAUGGCCAUGCAUGGCCACAUGAAACUUUGCAAACAUUUCUACCAUUCCAUUCCAUCCCUCAUAUUUUGAUACCCAUCACCAUGCCCAUUUUCUCACACCUCAUGCCCACUGUACCCAUCACUGUCCAUGCUCACCACCCAUAUCUUCAUCUUCUCCAACCACCUCACUAACCCAUUUUUCACACUAGCCCCCUCCCUCCCCAUCAUCCAUUCCACCCAUGAACAAGAUUACUAACCUAUUUUUCUCACUUUCUCUC
rnacentral:lncRNA from 1 species